rnacentral:rRNA from 1 species
CGAAUUCGGCCCUUAGGGUUUGAUCCUGGCUCAGAACGAACGCUGGCGGCAUGCCUAACACAUGCAAGUCGAACGAGACCUUCGGGUCUAGUGGCGCACGGGUGCGUAACGCGUGGGAAUCUGCCCUUGGGUUCGGGAUAACAGUUGGAAACGACUGCUAAUACCGGAUGAUGACUUCGGUCCAAAGAUUUAUCGCCCAGGGAUGAGCCCGCGUAGGAUUAGCUUGUUGGUGAGGUAAAAGCUCACCAAGGCGACGAUCCUUAGCUGGUCUGAGAGGAUGAUCAGCCACACUGGGACUGAGACACGGCCCAGACUCCUACGGGAGGCAGCAGUGGGGAAUAUUGGACAAUGGGCGAAAGCCUGAUCCAGCAAUGCUGCGUGAGUGAUGAAGGCCUUAGGGUUGUAAAGCUCUUUUACCCGGGAUGAUAAUGACAG